GAAUCGCGAUAGGUAUUGUGAAUUGCAGAAUUCCGUGAAUCAUUGAAUCUUUGAACGCACAUUGCGCCCUCAGGUAUUCCUAAGGGCAUGCCUGUUUGAGAGUCGGUAAACUCCUCGGUCAAAACUCGGUGUACCACGCAUGUGCCCCGAAGAAGACUGGUUAUGUACGGUGAGAUGCGUCUCUGGUACAAAUAUCAUGAACUGGCAGUAUGCUGGCAUUCCCUUGGUGUGAUAGGUCCAACCAUUCGCUAAGGUGUCCGGUGUGCACAGUUAGUAUUACAUACUUGAAUCAACAGACCUCAAAUCAGGCAAGACUACCCGCUGAACUUAA
rnacentral:misc_RNA from 1 species